rnacentral:lncRNA from 1 species
GGGGACUUGGGAGCGCGCGCUGCCCCUCACUUGGCUGCAACUGGACCCAGAACUAGGGAAGAGGCCAGGGACAGAUUUUUUUUUUUUAUUUUUAUUUUUUUUGCCGAGGGACGUUUCAAAAUUUUGCACGGCCAGGGUGACAAAAAAUGAGAACCUAAACACAAAAGGAGUUGAUCCUAACUCACAUGUUCUUUUCCACAGGCUUCCAGAGGUGUUCAUGCAGAAGACUGGAUGCAGGUGAUGUGGCUAUUACCAUUUUCUUCAUUUUAUCAAUUUUUUCCUCUGUUUUCAGGCUAUAACAAAAUAUAAUAAACUGGGUACCUUAGAAGCAACGGAAAUUGAUUUCUCAUAAUAAGAUGCUACCAACUAUAUUGUUUAAACAAUAAAAAUUUAUUUUUCACAGCUCUGGAGGCUGGAAAUCCAACAACAGAGUGCCAGCAUGAUCAGGUUCUGGAGAGGACCCUCUUCCUGUUUGCAGACUGCUGACUUCUUAUUGUAUAUUCCAAUGGUAGAAAGAGAGCAAGAGAACUCUCUGGAGUCUUUUUUUUAUAAGGGUGCUAACCCCAUUUAAGGAGGUUUCCCCUCAUAAUCUAAUUAUCUCUCAAAAGCCAUACCUUUCAACACCAUUGCAUUGAAGGUUAGGAUUUCAACAUGUGAAUUUGUAGUGGGGUGACGGGGAGAGGGACACACAAAUAUUUAGUCCAUAAUGCAUACUAACAAAAACUGGGGUAAAAGGUCACUGAAGUGAAUCCUUGCAGUAUUAAAGGACACGUUAUACUUCAUUUAUCCUUUUGGUCCAUAAAUAUUGAGCACACACUAUGAGCUAAAUUCUAGGUGCAUGUUAGAGCAUUGGUGGUACCACAAUAAAAUAGCCUUUUUCCCUAUCCUCAGGGAUUUUACAAUUUUGUGAAAGAGUUAUGCAGAUAGGCAGUUAACCUGCAGGUGGUGAUUGCUCACAAAGAGAAAAGCAGGGGGCUGUAAAAUUAGAGAAGCUAAGCUCACUUACCCUGUAUGGAGUUGGAUACAGAAUGUUUGCUAGAGGAAGUGGUGCCAAGUAGAUUUAGAUAAAGAAGAAGGUGGUGAUGAGAGGACGGAAGUGAUCGAAGGAAUGAAAGGUAGUAGAAAGGAAAUAGCACGCGAGAAGCUGUAGGAGAAAGGAGAAAGCGCACUUCCUGGCAAAAGGGAUAGCACACACAUAGGUUAGAGGUAAAAGGGCACAGCAAGGCUGCAGAGGCCUUGGGAGCUCAGCAUGAUUCGAAUGCAGUUGUACAGGAGGACUGGCACACACUCUGCUUCUUGGAGGUUACAGCAACUGCUACUCUCUGAGGGUUGUGUUACUUAUCUAUCUACUCAUCUAACAACAUGUCAUAACACACUGAGGGAAUUCCUCCAGACCUUUGAACAAAAAUGUUCUAACUUGAUUCAAAAUAAUUUAUACUCAACAUUCUUAGUAUCUUGCUUCAAAAAUAAAUGGACGAAGAAUAGUAUUCUGGCUACAGUUCCGUGUAACAAAUUGCCCAACUGUAGUGGCUUAAAAUGACAAUUAUUUUAUUAUGUUCACAUAAGUGUAGGUCAGGGGCUCAUAAAGGGCUAAGGGAGGAAGCUUUGCACACAUCUAUGGUGUGAGGCUACCUCCUAGACAAGACAAGUAAUGGACCACUUGGCUUGUUUAGUGACUGUGUGGUAAACAGGGGCAUGUGAGAGUUUGCUUAAAGGCAGACUUCCUCCUCUGGUCAGUUUGGUCCAGCCCAUUCAAUUGUGC